AGGACGAACGCUGGCGGCGCGCUUAACACAUGCAAGUCGAACGUGAAGCCGGGGCUUGCCCCGGUGGAAAGUGGCGAACGGGUGCGUAACACGUGAGCAACCUGCCCCGAAGACUGGGAUAACACCGGGAAACCGGUGCUAAUACCGGAUACCCUCUUCCGGCCGCAUGGCUGGACGAGGAAAUGGAUUCCGCUUCGGGAUGGGCUCGCGGCCUAUCAGCUUGUUGGUGAGGUAACGGCCCACCAAGGCGACGACGGGUAGC
rnacentral:rRNA from 1 species